rnacentral:rRNA from 1 species
UACGUAGGGUCCGAGCGUUGUCCGGAUUUAUUGGGCGUAAAGAGCGUGUAGGCGGCCAGGUAGGUCUGCUGUGAAAACUCGAGGCUCAACCUCGAGACGUCGGCGGAAACCAUCUGGCUAGAGUCCGGAAGAGGAGAGUGGAAUUCCUGGUGUAGCGGUGAAAUGCGCAGAUAUCAGGAAGAACACCCGUGGCGAAAGCGGCUCUCUGGGACGGUACUGACGCUGAGACGCGAAAGCGUGGGGAGCAAACAGG